AACUUUUGGCAACGGAUCUCUUGGCUCUCGCAUCGAAGAAGAACGCAGCGAAAUGAGAUAAGUAAUGUGAAUUGCAGAAUUCAGUGAAUCAUCGAAUCUUUGAACGCACCUUGCGCUCCUUGGUAUUCCGAGGAGCAUGCCUGUUUGAGUGUCAUUAAUAUAUAUAUCAAACUUCUCUUGUUGAGUGGUUUGGAUGUGGGGGUUUUUGCUGGGCCUCUUAAAGGGGUUCGGCUCCUCUGAAAUGCAUUAGCAGAACAAAACCUGUUCAUUGGUGUGAUAACUAUCUACGCUAUUGAAUGCAAGGGGCAGUUCAGCUUUCUAAUAGUCCUUUGGACAAUUCAUCAUUAAUGUGACCUCAAAUCAGGUAGGACUACCCGCUGAACUUAAGCAUAUCAAUAAGCGGAGGCU
rnacentral:misc_RNA from 1 species